rnacentral:rRNA from 1 species
UACGAAGGGGGCGAGCGUUGUUCGGAUUUACUGGGCGUAAAGGGCGCGCAGGCGGCGGACCAAGUCAGGCGUGAAAGCCCCGGGCUUAACCUGGGAGGUGCGUCUGGGACUGGUUGGCUAGAGUUCGGGAGAGGAGCGUGGAAUUCCCAGUGUAGAGGUGAAAUUCGUAGAUAUUGGGAAGAACACCGGUGGCGAAGGCGGCGCUCUGGACCGAGACUGACGCUGAGGCGCGAAAGCGUGGGGAGCAAACGGG